rnacentral:rRNA from 1 species
UGUACCUACGGGGCGCAGCAGUGGGGAAUAUUGCACAAUGGGGGAAACCCUGAUGCAGCGACGCCGCGUGAGUGAAGAAGUAUUUCGGUAUGUAAAGCUCUAUCAGCAGGGAAGAUAAUGACGGUACCUGACUAAGAAGCCCCGGCUAACUACGUGCCAGCAGCCGCGGUAAUACGUAGGGAGCGAGCGUUGUCCGGAUUUACUGGGUGUAAAGGGCGCGUAGGCGGGUAAGCAAGUCAGAAGUGAAAUCCAUGGGCUUAACCCACGAACUGCUUUUGAAACUGUUUCUCUUGAUGGAAGUAGAG